UCGGCAGGAAUGUGUUCGAGAUGGUUUAUCAUCCCGAAUUCGUUCUAAUCGAACGCGAACCUAGCCUUUGACGGUAGUUUGGUAAAUUCGUUUGAGAAAGAAUACACAUUCCCUCCUUGAAAUCAACGUCGUCACGCCACUUUCACCCUGCUGGCAACGCCGCGCCGCGGAAAGAUCAUUGUAAAAUAAUAAUUGCGUUGCUUGUUACGAAUGAAAUGCGUAAAAUCGUGUAAUGUAACAGCGUCGUAUAUAUAUAUGUAAUUGUUGGAAUGAUAAACACAUCGAAUAUUACCAUCGCGUUCGAGUUUACAGUUACGGUUAUCAUUGGAAGGACACGUAAAUAUUGCGUGUUAAAAUUAAACGUUCAUUCCGCUUCGUACAUUGAAACCAUAGCGUGAAAUUGCCGCGUGCUUCGUCCUCGCGCAAUGUUGUCGCCGCGCGAGCCGAGCCACUUGGUGGCCGCGAGACGCGAGACGAGGUACAACUCGUAAACACCAAAUUCUCGCGUGUACCGAGUCGCGAAAUUUCGAGGAUUUUUUCUAUGAACUAGCGACGAUCACGUGGUUCGAAGAUCCUUUGUCUCCAAAGCUUCUAGAACGUUCUUCCACUCCCAUCUCAUCACUUCUUCUCGUACAGUCGCGGUGAGCGCGAGUAAGUCCGAGCGAGCCGUAUAAGAGUUACAGUGCGUACCCAUUAGUAUCGUAAUACGAAGUAAGCGUUUUCAACGGUUUUCCGAGUAAAUCGCUGCAUUGUAAGAAGGAAGGAAGCCUAGCUCGAACCAUUCGAAUUACGAUUAGUUACACAAAAGAAAAUGAUUGAUCACCGAGGUCAUUUUUACUCAACUGUGAAGAGAGCAACGCGAGAGUUUCAAGUGGGUCCUUGCGGCAGCAAGGAAGGACACCGACUGAAAGGAAGGCUUGCAACAGAUGCAUAGUACUGUUGGUCAUCGGGGCAUGACAUCGGGGCAGAUAACAGCGGUGGAAGUUUGUUGGGAAGUUCCUACGUCCUUCGAGAGCCAUAUAAUCGACGCUGGAAAGAUCUACAAGCGAUCAAGGCAACGCGAAAACGAGAAAAUCAAGUUCCCAUCGCGUGCGCGAAUUCUCAACGUGUUUUAUCAACCUCGUUAACAGCGAUCGGGAAACGGCGGCGGGCUCUUGGACGAGUUCACGGACGAAAGGUAAAACAUUCCAACAGAAUUUUUAUAAACGAAGAGUUUGUUACAAGAGGGAAGUAUUACGCGAAUCCCAUUUUCACUUAAGCGCUAUUCGGAUACUGUAAUUUUAAUAAACUCAAAGUGUAUUGGACUUGCAGGCUACCUUCGAUAUUCUUUGACCGAAAACAGAUUUUUUGAUACAUAAACGUUUUUAAUUUAUAGAAUCAUCUUCGGAUGCAACUAAAUUAUUUAAUCACGUACAAUGAAGCCAAACAGCAUUUAAAGAAUUUUUUCUUUUACAAUUAUUUCAGCAGUGUUUAUUGUUGAAUAUGCAGGUGAAAAUGUAUGCGGAGUUCGUUGUAAAUACAAUGUUCCGUGGUGCGGCAUUUGUUCGUUGAGAACCCGCGAGCUCGUAACGAACAAAUACUAAAAACGGCUUCUUAAUAAAAUUGUUAAAUUUAUUUUCCCCGAUAGUUUCAUUUUAUGGAUUCCAUUGUAAUCGAAUCAUUAUUCUAAAAUUUUUAUUUCGAAAGUCUCAAAAGUUAUUGGAUUUGCAACUAAUAUUCCGUAUUCAUAUACACGGAACCAUUUUUUUUUUCAAAUACAUAAACGAUUUCCAUUUAUAAAGUUAUGCUCAAAUGUAUCAAAAUUAUUUAAUCGUCUAAAGUUAAACAAAAACAGUUUUAAUAAUAUGCAGUCCAAAAAUAAAUAGUAACGUUAGUAAUACUAUAUGUAGGUUAUAUAUAAUACUAUAUAUGUAUACGUCAGUAAUAAUACGUAUCAAUUAUAAAUGAAUGCUCCCAUAAUCUUACUUUUUCAUAAAAAGACAAACAUUAAUUAAUUGUUUAUCCCAUCUUUGUUGCAUGCAUUUUAUUAACGUCGACAAUUAUUCGAUAUCACCUGGAAGAUUCAUAUUCUACGUGCUUUUUAAAAUAAAAAUAUCAAAAUAAUGACUCGAUAGAAAUUGAUUAUGUAGUAAGGAAUCGAAGAUUGCUUUAUUUCGAAUCUUUCUAUUUUCUGUUUGUAAGCUUUAUUGGUUUUAUUAAAAAAGAAAAAAAAAAUUCAAUAACUUUAUAAUCGCAUUUGUUCGUGUCACAAAUUUUGGAGUGCAUUUCGGACACCCGGUACGUUUAUACCUGUACUACAGGUGCCGCCCUUUUCCGGACUGUUUUUCUCCUAGUCUGUCACAGGAAGAAGGGUGGACAAGACCCUCGUAACGGAAAGUUUCAGGCUGCACGCGUAAUUGAAUGCAGAAUUUGAAAAGGACGGAAGACGAAAGAUUAUGGGAACGUGCUGUCGGGUUCUUCGCGAUCUAUAAAUAUAAAUACAUUCCAGCAAUUUUAUCGACUGGACGUCGCGUGAAUGAUGCCAUGGAUAAAACUGUCAGCUACAGAUCUAUCACUAACCCAUUCGCUACCAAUUUAUUUUAGUUUCAGAAUCCCCGUUUAUUGCCUGCGAAAGUUGCAGGAUAUUCAAAUAAAUUUUUGUAACGGUACGGAAUUU